UAACGCGUGAGGAACCUGCCUUCCANAGGGGGACAACAGUUGGAAACGACUGCUAAUACCGCAUGAUGCGUUGGAGCCGCAUGACUCCGACGUCAAAGAUUUAUCGCUGGAAGAUGGCCUCGCGUCUGAUUAGCUAGUUGGUGAGGUAACGGCCCACCAAGGCGACGAUCAGUAGCCGGCCUGAGAGGGCGACCGGCCACAUUGGGACUGAGACACGGCCCAGACUCCUACGGAAGGCAGCAG
rnacentral:rRNA from 1 species